CACCAUUGUCCAAUCAAGAAGAUCUCAUCAAUUAUUGGCCUGAUUAUUCAUCCACACUGCUCCAAUUCUGCAAGUGGGCCACCAGCCAGCCCUGCCUGACCCUCCCUGUGUCCAAAUUUAAAAGGUCUUGGCUAUUUAAUGGUUCUUUAUCAUAUUUUUUCAUUUUAAUACAAAGUAGUAACCACUGCAUGUGAGUGCAUGAAUGGG